GCAAGGGUGGCAGAGUGGUCAAAUGCACCGGACUGUAAAUCCGGCGCCUUCGGGCUACAGAGGUUCAAAUCCUCUCCCUUGCA
rnacentral:tRNA from 1 species